UAAAUUGAAGCAUCUUGCAUUUAACUGUUAAUUAAAAGAAUGUUUUUUAAAAACCAAUUUAA
rnacentral:tRNA from 1 species